AUUAAAACAGAGAAAGGAAGACAAAAUUAGAGAACACAGAGGACGUGAAACAAGGAGAUUAGAAUGUCAAAUCUUUUCGUAACUACACUGGAGGAAGCUUGUUCUGGGAGAUUAUGGAAGUUGGGUCUACAAACCUAAGGGUUAGUAGACAAUAGAAAUUCUAAUCGGAGGUUGGGAAGAGAUUGUCUACCUUAUUCUUGUGCUUGUUGGAUUGUCAAAGCUAAAGGUUGGAUUCCAAGUAGCACACUUGAUUCGGGUAACCUCUGCAAUCAAUUAAAAUUUGAAUCUUGACCUCAACAAAGAUGGGAAGUGAUGUUGUAUGAUGAAAAGCUCGUGGGAAAUUGGAGCUUUUGAAAGGGUAAAAAUA